UACGUAGGGUGCAAGCGUUGUCCGGAAUUAUUGGGCGUAAAGAGCUCGUAGGCGGUUUGUCGCGUCGAAUGUGAAAACCCGGGGCUCAACCCCGGGCCUGCAUUCGAUACGGGCAGACUAGAGUUCGGUAGGGGAGUCUGGAAUUCCUGGUGUAGCGGUGAAAUGCGCAGAUAUCAGGAGGAACACCGGUGGCGAAGGCGGGACUCUGGGCCGAUACUGACGCUGAGGAGCGAAAGCGUGGGAGCAACAGG
rnacentral:rRNA from 1 species